rnacentral:rRNA from 1 species
UACGAACUGUGUGAACGUUAUUCGGAAUCACUGGGCUUACAGGGUGCGUAGGCGGCUUAGCAAGUCAGGUGUGAAAUCCCCAGGCUCAACCUGGGAACUGCGUCUGAUACUGGAUGGCUUGAAUCCAGGAGAGGGAUGCAGAAUCCCAGGUGUAGCGGUGAAAUGCGUAGAUAUCUGGAGGAAUACCGGUGGCGAAGGCGGCAUCCUGGACCGGCAUUGACGCUGAGGAGCGAAAGCCAGGGGAGCAAACGGG